rnacentral:rRNA from 1 species
UCAGAAACUCAAAGGAAUUGACGGGGCCCGCACAAGCGUGGAGCAUGUGGUUUAAUUCGAUGAUACGCGAGGAACCUUACCUGGGCUCAAAUGUAUGUUGACGUAUUCUGAAAGGGAUACUUCUUCGGACAAUAUACAAGGUGCUGCAUGGUUGUCGUCAGCUCGUGCCGUGAGGUGUCGGGUUAAGUCCCAUAACGAGCGCAACCCCUAUCAUUAGUUGCCAUCAGGUCAAGCUGGGGACUCUAAUGAAACUGCCUACGCAAGUAGUGAGGAAGGUGGGGAUGACGUCAAGUCAUCAUGGCCCUUACGGCCUGGGCUACACACGUGCUACAAUGGUCGGUACAAAGGGUUGCCAAGCCGCGAGGUGGAGCUAAUCCCAUAAAACCGAUCGUAGUCCGGAUCGCAGUCUGCAACUCGACUGCGUGAAGUCGGAAUCGCUAGUAAUCGUGAAUCAGAAUGUCACGGUGAAUACGUUCCCGGGCCUU